rnacentral:misc_RNA from 1 species
UUAAGUUCAGCGGGUAUCUCUGCCUGAUCUGAGGUCAACCUAGCAAAGUGGGGGUUGACUAGCUAGCGACCACAAGACUCCACCGGCGGCGGUGAUCACUGCGCGUAGGAGCUCUGAAGUGCUGCCACUGGAUUUGAGGCGAGCCCUGAAGGCUGCGCCCAACACUGCGCGGAGCGCAAGGUGUGUAAUGACGCUCAGAC